UCACUUUAUGUGUUUUUUUCCCCCAGCCUGUCCAUGGUCCCCCAGUGUCUAGAAAUGGGGAUAAGUGUAAACCGAGCCCUGGGUAUCCUUCUCUGCCUUUGAGAAAAUGAAAGCUCAGGUGGGCCGAUCUGGAAUCUUACCCCUUAUGACCUCAUAAGGUUACCACCAAUCUCUCUGCUUUGCCUGCCCAGAGAAUUUGGCCCACCAAUAAGAGAGAGACAUCAUGGCUUCCAAACUAUCAAAGUGGCAGUUUGUCAAGGCCCCCCCCUCCUCAAAAGCUAUAGACUCAGAAAUAGCACAUCCCAAAGAAAGCUCAUUGUGG